ACUGCUGAGCUAGACCACGCUGGGACCUGGAGGACGGUUGCUCACACUGUGACGGGACACAUCCUGAGUCCGGAUCCUGUAACCCCUGUCAGAAAAAGAUCAUGUGGUCAAGUUUUGUUUUGAUGAAGUCAACAAUCUCGCCCAAGAAGAAGACAACACCAACCUUAGCUAUGAGGUGCUGCCUACGUCCUUCCUUGCACUGCUGGGAUCUUUCGUUCCUUUUCUCCCAAUGUUGGUUUUUCACCAUCUGUCAAAAAAAUAGAUUCUCUUUAAUGUCCACAACUUUAAAGGAAAUGGAAGGCGCUAAUUUCCUUGAGAGAAAAACACAACGUAAACAUCAGUGACACACAGGCACCGGAUCAGAAACAUCUUUAGCAAUAAAGUCAGCCAAUUAGGCUUCACCAAUCCAUCCAUUCUGAUCGUGUUCAAAAUCCACCUUCUGGCGUGAGGUAAAACAGAUCUGGAGAUGGUGGAAGCAAACUUGUCAAGUUCAGUCACUUCAUAGCAGUGAUCAAAACACAAGCUGGGUCACUUUCUGCGGCUUGUAACGCUCCCAUCGUUACUGUUAGAUUUUUUUUGGGUUCAUAUUCCAUUCCAGCACACAGUGCAAUAUUCAGUGAGUACAGAGUGUUGAGCAGCCCCCUUAUAAGGCCAUAAGGAGUAGGCUGUUUGGCCCCUCAAGCUUGCUCUGCCAUUUAAUAGGAUCAUAGCUGAUCCAACACAUCUCAUGUGCACUUUCCCAUGUUUCCCUGACUGAUCAAGAAUCUAUCUAUCUCAACCUUAAGUAUACACAAGGACUCUGCUACCACACCUCUCUUUGGUAAGGAAUUACAACCCUCUGAGAGAAGAAAUUCCUCCUCAUCUCAGUCUUAAAUUUAUGCCCCUUUAUUCUAAGACAAUUCCUUCUGAUCCUAGACUAUCCCAUGAGGAGAAACAUCCUCUCAGCAUUUACCCUGUCAACCCCCUUAAGAAUCCCAUAUGUUACAAUGAAAUCACCGCUCUUUCUUCGAAGCAGCAGUGAGUAGAGUCCCAACCAGUUUAACCUUUGCUCAUAAGACAAUCCCAUAUUCAUUAAUACCAUAUGCAUUAUCAGAGAAAGGGCCAUUAUUCCCUGUGAUCGGGUCUUCCACAGUAGCUGUAACUCAAUAAGUAUAUCAGUGGCCGCAAAACGUUCUGAGAUGUUCAAAAGCUGGGAAAGACUAGGCCCGAAACGUCAGCCUUCCUGCUCCUAUGAUGCUGCUUGGCCUGCUGUGUUCAUCCAGCUCUACGCCUUGUUAUCUCAGAUUUUCCAGCAUCUGCAGUUCCUACUAUCUCUGAUAAAAUGCAAGUUCCUUCUUUAAGUAGACUAUUGUAUAAUUUUGUAAAAUGGUUAAGGCACUUAUAGACUCAUACAAUUUUACAAUAAAGAAGGAGGCCAUUUGACCCAUUGUGUCUGUACUGGCUCCUGAAAGAGCUACCCAGCUAAUCCCACUGUCCAGCCCUAUCUCCGUAGCCCUCUAAAUUCAACUCUCUUUUGAAACCUCCUAUGGAAUCUGCCUCCACCAUUCUGUCAAGCAGUGCAUUCCAAAUCCUAACAACUCUCUGAGUGAAGAAGUUUCUCCUCAUCUCACUUCUGGCUGUCUUGCUGACAAUCCUGAAAUUGUGACCUCUAGUUACUUCCAGCCUGAGUACUGAUUCCAGUGUCAGUGCCAAUAAAUGAUAAAGUGGU